GACGAACGCUGGCGGCGUGCUUAACACAUGCAAGUCGAGCGGUAAGGCCCUUUCGGGGGUACACGAGCGGCGAACGGGUGAGUAACACGUGGGUGACCUGCCCUUAGCUCUGGGAUAAGCCUGGGAAACUGGGUCUAAUACCGGAUAUGACUCCAUGACGCAUGUUGUGGGGUGGAAAGCCUUGUGCGGCUAGGGAUGGGCCCGCGGCCUAUCAGCUUGUUGGUGGGGUGAUGGCCUACCAAGGCGACGACGGGUAGCCGGCCUGAGAGGGCGACCGGCCACACUGGGACUGAGACACGGCCCAGACCU
rnacentral:rRNA from 1 species